CUACAAGUCCCUCAAACGAAACCUAAUUUGAACUAAAUGACAAAUUCAAAUUCAUUCUUUUAAUUAAAUUUUUAAUUUGAAAUAAUAUAUGAGCCACAUUCCUAAUUUUUUUUAUAUCCCAAUUUUGCCCUUAUACCCUAAAUUUUCUAACCUACAUAUUCACGUUUCUCCUAUUCAGAUUUAUUUUAUUUUUUGCUAUUCUCUCACGUUCUCUCUAUCACACACGUUGUCUCUUAUAUUCUUUUCUCUCUCGUUUUUUUUUCUCUCUCACCUCUCCAUCUAUAAUUCUCAAUAUCUUUCUUGCUUUCUUCUUCAGCAAGAGGCAAAGGACUGUGGUGCACGAGACGGCAACGGGGGGCUGUGGUGGUGGAGGUGCGGCAGGGGGCCGGGCUGUGAUGGUCGAUGCAAGCCGAGGGGCUGUGGUGGUGGAGGUGCGGCAGGGGGGCGGGCUGUGAUGGUAGAUCUGAGCCGGGGGGCUGUCCCGCUAUGGUGGCCGCGGCGGCGGCCGUGGAUGUGGAGGUCGAGGUUGCGGCGAGUGAUGUGGUUAUGGUGGAAAUUUAAUUAAAAGUAUAUUUUUUACUAAUUGCAUCUGAUUUUCUUGAUCUUCAAGAGAUUUUGUUUGAUUUGGAUUAAAAUGGUAAAUCUAGGUUUUCUCAAACUUGGUAAUUGACUACGGUUGCGACGACUGCAAAUGUAGGCAGCUAGGGUUUGACAGCUGCUGCGUUGACGGCUAGGGUUGGCGAGAUUGGUGUUGUUGGUUGCUAGGGUUUUGUAGUACACCGUAGUAUAUCAUACUACAAUGUAGUAAACCAUAGUCUACUACAGUAUU